GAUGUUAGCGGCGGACGGGUGAGUAACACGUGGAUAACCUACCUAUAAGACUGGGAUAACUUCGGGAAACCGGAGCUAAUACCGGAUAAUAUUUUGAACCGCAUGGUUCAAAAGUGAAAGACGGUCUUGCUGUCACUUAUAGAUGGAUCCGCGCUGCAUUAGCUAGUUGGUAAGGUAACGGCUUACCAAGGCAACGAUGCAUAGCCGACCUGAGAGGGUGAUCGGCCACACUGGAACUGAGACACGGUCCAGACUCCUACGGGAGGCAGCAGUAGGGAAUCUUCCGCAAUGGGCGAAAGCCUGACGGAGCAACGCCGCGUGAGUGAUGAAGGUCUUCGGAUCGUAAAACUCUGUUAUUAGGGAAGAACAUAUGUGUAAGUAACUGUGCACAUCUUGACGGUACCUAAUCAGAAAGCCACGGCUAACUACGUGCCAGCAGCCGCGGUAAUACGUAGGUGGCAAGCGUUAUCCGGAAUUAUUGGGCGUAAAGCGCGCGUAGGCGGUUUUUUAAGUCUGAUGUGAAAGCCCACGGCUCAACCGUGGAGGGUCAUUGGAAACUGGAAAACUUGAGUGCAGAAGAGGAAAGUGGAAUUCCAUGUGUAGCGGUGAAAUGCGCAGAGAUAUGGAGGAACACCAGUGGCGAAGGCGACUUUCUGGUCUGUAACUGACGCUGAUGUGCGAAAGCGUGGGGAUCAAACAGGAUUAGAUACCCUGGUAGUCCACGCCGUAAACGAUGAGUGCUAAGUGUUAGGGGGUUUCCGCCCCUUAGUGCUGCAGCUAACGCAUUAAGCACUCCGCCUGGGGAGUACGACCGCAAGGUUGAAACUCAAAGGAAUUGACGGGGACCCGCACAAGCGGUGGAGCAUGUGGUUUAAUUCGAAGCAACACGAAGAACCUUACCAAAUCUUGACAUCCUUUGACAACUCUAGAGAUAGAGCCUUCCCCUUCGGGGGACAAAGUGACAGGUAGUGCAUGGUUGUCGUCAGCUCGUGUCGUGAGAUGUUGGGUUAAGUCCCGCAACGAGCGCAACCCUUAAGCUUAGUUGCCAUCAUUAAGUUGGGCACUCUAAGUUGACUGCCGGUGACAAACCGGAGGAAGGUGGGGAUGACGUCAAAUCAUCAUGCCCCUUAUGAUUUGGGCUACACACGUGCUACAAUGGACAAUACAAAGGGCAGCGAAACCGCGAGGUCAAGCAAAUCCCAUAAAGUUGUUCUCAGUUCGGAUUGUAGUCUGCAACUCGACUACAUGAAGCUGGAAUCGCUAGUAAUCGUAGAUCAGCAUGCUACGGUGAAUACGUUCCCGGGUCU
rnacentral:rRNA from 1 species